UACGUAGGGUGCGAGCGUUGUCCGGAAUUAUUGGGCGUAAAGAGCUCGUAGGCGGUGUGUCGCGUCGGUCGUGAAAACUUGGGGCUUAACCCUGAGCUUGCGGUCGAUACGGGCAUCACUGGAGUUCGGCAGGGGAGACUGGAAUUCCUGGUGUAGCGGUGAAAUGCGCAGAUAUCAGGAGGAACACCGGUGGCGAAGGCGGGUCUCUGGGCCGAUACUGAUGCUGAGGAGCGAAAGCGUGGGGAGCGAACAGG
rnacentral:rRNA from 1 species